rnacentral:rRNA from 1 species
CUACCGGGGUAUCUAAUCCUGUUUGCUCCCCACGCUUUCGUGCCUGAACGUCGGUACUGGACCAGGAAGCCGCUUUCGCCACUGGUGUUCCUUCAGAUAUCUACGCAUUUCACCGCUACACCUGAAAUUCCGCUUCCCUCUUCCGUACCCUAGCUACACAGUCUCGAAUGCAAUUCCCAGGUUGAGCCCGGGGCUUUCACACCCGACUUAUAUAACCGUCUGCGCACGCUUUACGCCCAGUAAUUCCGAUUAACGCUUGCACCCUCUGUAUUACCGCGGCUGCUGGCAC